AUGUGGCAGGAAAUCGAGAUUUUAAUGGAAACCCGCUGAACUGUGGUGGUGCUAACCAAAAAUCUUCUGCCGACACCGGUAACGUGCUGGAAUCAAAAUCAAACGCAAGAACUGAGAUACUGAGCCUGGAGGCCCUCGAUCGGAUCCCAAUGGAAUGGGCAGAAAUAUUCACAUUUUCACUUGUCAGCGGACCGGCCACAUGUCACAACACAAGAGACAAACACAACAAGCAAGCUGCGGCGGCGCGACAGUGUGAGAAGCGCAUACCAGAGAGGGGCUCACUGAAAGUCGAGGGGAAGCGAAAAAGGGCCAUCAUAUUUGAACAUAAAUUUUCAGCCGCGAUCGCAUUAAACCCAAGUGAGCCCAGCUUACCCCUUUGGUGAACUCUGACAGUGAAGUGACGACACACGGCGGCCGAAGCCCUUACUGCCUGUGCAAAAAAAACUUCCUUCAAAGGUUUUUUUCUUCCAAAUCUUAAAGCAUCCUGAAUGUGCCCAUCACAUGAAUAAUUAGUUUAAAAGAAUACAAAAUUACCAAAUGAAAUGCACAAGGAGCACAUUUAACACUGUAACAAACGAACAUGUUCCUUUGGAACGUGUUCGCUUCACCUAAAGUGCAAUGUAGUGUAUUCAAAAAUAAAAAUAAAAAGUAGGUGAACUCAAAUUUUUAAGGCAACAUAACCUAAGUUGGGCAAUUCAACUCCAUGUUUUAAGGUUUCCUGUGGUUAAAACUGUCGCUAUCAUUUUCAACGAGUAAAGACAAGUUUUCAGAACUAAUUUCCCCUUGUAUUGUGCCCCAACUUAAAGCUAGAAGUAAAAAAAAACAAUUCAGCUAAUUGUUUUGGAGCAAACAAGUUGUUGCGCCAACUUACAAUAUAAUGUAUAGUAUAAAAAAAUGUAUAGUUUAAAGUUGUUCCAACUGAAAUGACUGUUUUUAGUCACAGACAAAUAACAAGUUGUGUUUUUUUACAGUCUGAUGUGUUUAAACCGAUACCGCCGUGCUUCAUUUGACAAAAGAAAAGUGUACUUUUAAUGUGCAACAUAACAGCAGUCAAUUCUACCGCCCCCUCCCUCUGCCCCCCCCCUUGCUCGUUUCAAACAGUACCGAAAGGUGAAAAGGUCACGCUUCAGUCAUAUCAGCAAAGCGCAUCACAGUCAACUUCCUGUCUGAUUGCAUCAAGAAAAAAAAAUAUCCUCACACUAUCUUAGAAAACGGUGACAAAAUAGUGAUGGGAACCCAGUUAGGUAACAUAGUCACAAUAGCAUCAGAUUGUCUCCCCUAACAAAAUGUCUUUUUAAAACAAGUUUUCAUAGCAGCAUGGGGCCUAAUUUCUCUUCACACAAGCUACACGUGAAUCCCGAAUUGCCACACGUCUUUUUCACUCCCGAAAAGAGUAACGGCAACCCCAUACUGUACUCGUGUACUAAUGAGACGUGUCAACAGUGCGUAGAGGGCCGCUGACAAAUAAAAUCCCCAGCUGUCAACGGGCAAGCCAGAAAUUAAGAGGGAAACUAUGACAGGAAAAUCAGAA